CAAGAGCAAAUAGUACGUUUUGGUUAAAAUCCCAAAUGUGAAUGGAAAACAACUUUAAUAUGUGCAAUUACGUAUUACAUACCUGGAUAUAGUGCGAAAAUGGCGCGAAACCUAAAUAUCCCGCUUUUUAUAAGUUGUUUAUGUGAUUUUGUGUAUGGUGAUUUUCGUUUAACCAAAAUAUCGAAGAAGGCAACAGAAUUCUAUGAUCGCGUAGUCGGAAAAAUGCAUCAUAAACGGAGCGAGUUCCUCCCUCACAGCUAUUAGGCGUUUGGAGAAAUAGGUAAAAGAAGUGUGCACUCUUGUCAGUCUGGUAAAGUGAUGAAAAAUCUGAAAAAGUCACGGGUAUAUGCAGUCAUUGCAUAGGCAGUUUGCUCAAUAUUGGCUUUGAGCAUAACAAUUUGGCCUCCAGGUUUCUUGCUGAUUUCCUGCUGGGACUUGCAGUGUACGGAGUCAGUUACACUUCUCUGACCAAUAUUCACAGCUGUUCACAGGCCACAGCUUUUCUUCCAAAGCCUGGAGUUAUUCAACAAUAACAGUGGCUAAUGAUGGUACUUUCAGGAUCUGAAAAGAUGCAAUAAUUUGAAUAAAAGUAUUUUUGUAUUCAACAA